UUUAAGCGAGGAGGAGGCUACUCUAGUUAAUACCUGGGGAUAGUGGACGUUACUCGCAGAAUAAGCACCGGCUAACUCUGUGCCAGCAGCCGCGGUAAUACAGAGGGUGCGAGCGUUAAUCGGAUUUACUGGGCGUAAAGCGUGCGUAGGCGGCUUUUUAAGUCGGAUGUGAAAUCCCUGGGCUUAACUUAGGAAUUGCAUUCGAUACUGGGAGGCUAGAGUAUGGGAGAGGAUGGUAGAAUAAGGGCGAAUUCGUUUAAACCUGCAGGACUAG
rnacentral:rRNA from 1 species